rnacentral:misc_RNA from 1 species
UUAAGUUCAGCGGGUAUCCCUACCUGAUCCGAGGUCAAGACGUUGAAAUAGGCUUCUGGAUCGCCGACCCACCCACGUCGUAAGCGCGACUGUGCUGCGCUCGCGGCGGGGGGAUGCGGCUGCCAAUCAAUUUGAGGCGAGUCCACGCGCGGGGGGCGGGACAAACACCCAACACCAAGCUGAGCUUGAAGGUUGAAAUG